GACGAACGCUGGCGGCGUGCCUAAUACAUGCAAGUAGAACGCUGAAGGAGGAGCUUGCUUCUCUGGAUGAGUUGCGAACGGGUGAGUAACGCGUAGGUAACCUGCCUGGUAGCGGGGGAUAACUAUUGGAAACGAUAGCUAAUACCGCAUAAGAGUAGAUGUUGCAUGACAUUUGCUUAAAAGGUGCAAUUUCAUCACUACCAGAUGGACCUGCGUUGUAUUAUCUAGUUGGUGAGGUAACGGCUCACCAAGGCAACGAUACAUAGCCGACCUGAGAGGGUGAUCGGCCACACUGGGACUGAGACACGGCCCAGACUCCUACGGGAGGCAGCAGUAGGGAAACUUCGGCAAUGGACGGAAGUCUGACCGGGCAACGCCGCGUGAGUGAAGAAGGUUUUCGGAUCGUAAAGCUCUGUUGUAAGAGAAGAACGAGUGUGAGAGUGGAAAGUUCACACUGUGACGGUAUCUUACCAGAAAGGGACGGCUAACUACGUG
rnacentral:rRNA from 1 species